rnacentral:piRNA from 1 species
UAUAACGUGUCUGUGUCUAAGGGUGUCC